UGCAGGCCUAAUUAAGUCAACUCUACAUUGCAAUUGAGUUCCAAUUAUGCUAAGGGCCAAAGCUAAGUAUAUAUUAAUUAAGACCUCUCGUACUCAGAACUUACCUGAAAAUCUUGUACCCCAACAGUAGAAUAAUAGUUUUAGAUUGAGGCAGUAACAUGUAUGAUUAAGUUCUCACCUCUCUGCAAAAUACGUACAGUUUAGGAAAUUCUUGCAAUGAAUCUAGAUGGGAAUUCUGAAUUUCCACAAUCAUCAUACCCUCGGUGCAAAUAAACUAUCAGAUCGAAAAUAGGGAGCGGAAUCUUCAAAACAAUAACAAA
rnacentral:lncRNA from 1 species